rnacentral:rRNA from 1 species
UUGACCUCAAAUCGGGUGAGACUACCCGCUGAACUUAAGCAUAUCAAUAAGCGGAGGAAAAGAAACUAACAAGGAUUCCCCUAGUAACUGCGAGUGAAGCGGGAAAAGCUCAAAUUUAAAAUCUGGCGGUCUUUGGCCGUCCGAGUUGUAAUUUAGAGAAGCGUCUUCCGCGCCGGACCGUGCACAAGUCUCCUGGAAUGGAGCGUCAUAGAGGGUGAGAAUCCCGUCUUUGGCACGGAUGCCCGGUGCUUCUGUGAUGCGCUCUCGAAGAGUCGAGUUGUUUGGGAAUGCAGCUCAAAAUGGGUGGUGAACUCCAUCUAAAGCUAAAUAUUGGCGAGAGACCGAUAGCGAACAAGUACCGUGAGGGAAAGAUGAAAAGCACUUUGGAAAGAGAGUGAAACAGUACGUGAAAUUGUUGAAAGGGAAACGCUUGAAGUCAGUCGCGUCGACCGAGACUCAGCCUUGCCUCGGCUUGGUGUACUUCUCGGCCCGACGGGUCAGCGUCAAUUUUGCCCCUCGGAUAAUGGCAAGGGAAAGGUGGCACCUUUNCGGGUGUGUUAUAGUCUCCUGUCGCAUGCGAGGGGUGGGAUUGAGGAACUCAGCGCGCACCUUGGUGUCGGGGCUUCUGCCCACGUCACGCGCUUAGGAUG